CAAAAAUUUGAAUCACCCAGCUGAGCUGACUGUUUGGUAAUUUAAGCUCUGUUUUUUUGAAAUCAUCACUGAUUGUUGGCCGGCCGGCCGUUGAUGAAAGUUCUCUCAAUCUACAGCUGCGGCAAUUAUGAAUCGAAAUCAUUAAUUACUUGUGUACAUCAUUUCCCCUCCUGCAAAAACUUCCUUUCUAGUUUCUUUUUAAGGUAGAGAAGUGAUCAGAGUUUACCUGUGACUAUACGGUUGACAGUGCAUUUAAAGAGAUUUGACCUUUCGUUUGCUUUGAUUGAUGAUCUCUUAUCUUCUUCUUCUGCCAUUUUCAUAGGUUUCUUUUCUUUACUUUUUUUAUUCUCUCCUGGUUCUGUGAUCAGUAGGGG
rnacentral:lncRNA from 1 species